rnacentral:SRP_RNA from 1 species
ACUCGGUGAGGGCGGGCGAUUUGCCUUUUUAGCGGGUCAGGUUCGAAAGAAAGCAUCCCAAGAUUGGUUGAGUCGGGUCGCCCUCACUUUUUUAU